CCUACGGGAGGCAGCAGUGGGGAAUUUUGGACAAUGGGGGCAACCCUGAUCCAGCAAUGCCGCGUGUGUGAAGAAGGCCUUCGGGUUGUAAAGCACUUUUGUCCGGAAAGAAAUUGCUCUGGCUAAUACCUGGGGUAGAUGACGGUACCGGAAGAAUAAGCACCGGCUAACUACGUGCCAGCAGCCGCGGUAAUACGUAGGGUGCGAGCGUUAAUCGGAAUUACUGGGCGUAAAGCGUGCGCAGGCGGUUUUGUAAGACAGGCGUGAAAUCCCCGGGCUCAACCUGGGAAUUGCGCUUGUGACUGCAAGGCUAGAGUGCGUCAGAGGGGGGUAGAAUUCCACGUGUAGCAGUGAAAUGCGUAGAGAUGUGGAGGAAUACCGAUGGCGAAGGCAGCCCCCUGGGACGUGACUGACGCUCAUGCACGAAAGCGUGGGGAGCAAACAGGAUUAGAUACCCUGGUAGUCCACGCCCUAAACGAUGUCAACUAGUUGUUGGGGAUUCAUUUUCUCAGUAACGUAGCUAACGCGUGAAGUUGACCGCCUGGGGAUACGGUCGCAAGNUUAAAACUCAAAGGAUUGACGGCNGAGAGNGCGAGACGACGACGAGGGAGAGG
rnacentral:rRNA from 1 species